rnacentral:lncRNA from 1 species
UUUUUUUUUUUUUUUUUGUCCCAAACUCACAUAUUACAAUUUGGUGAUUCUGCUCCUGUUGUUGUAGCGAUAAGCUACCAAGGAGAUUUCAAUGAAAACCCUGUUAGUGCGUCUUCGAACACCACUAUUUGAACAGUACUUCUACAAAAAGUUCCAACCAGAACAAAGAAACCUAUUUAGGUCUAUAUAUAUAGCCCAUGCCACAUUGGUUGAUUUUUGAACUGAAGAUAAGUUCAGAACUAAUUCAACUAUUUUUUAUCAACCUCUAUAUAAUUGCUUUCCUACAUAUCUAUCUAACUACAUUAAAGGAGGGUUUGGGAGGACCACAGGGUGACACGUGUCCCCACAAACCCCCUACUCUCUUCCUCUAGGGUUUGAGGGGACCACAGGGUGACACGUAUCCCCACAAACCCCCUACUCUCUUCCGAUAUAUAUAUAUAUAUAUAUAUAUAUAGAGUCCGGCUACUAUACUCUUAUGAGUAUGACUCUAAUGAGUACAAUCGUCCUCGUACUCAUAAGUCGUUUGACUUAUGAUAGAGCUUCCGAAUCAACGAUCUAUACCGUUAAACAUUAUUUACAGUAUUUAAAACUUCUAAAAAUCAAAUUUUAUAAUUUUUCGACAUCAUUUACCUUACGAUCAAAAAGUGACAAAAUUGACAAUUUUUAAUGGCCGGUAUGGGAUACUUGCUAGUUUAACGGUGUGAAAGAAUCAGAAUUUGUUGAAUUUUUGAUAGAAAAUUCAAUUUGCUACCUAGAUAAAGAUCAAUAACUUCGAUCUUAAAUUGAAGGAUCCAAUCAUCCAUUUUUAGGACGUCGUUCGAUUUUGACCUUUCAUUUUAUGCUCGCUUGAUGAACUUUAUUAUGAUUUCGAAAAUUUACGAAAUUUAUUUUCUAGAAGUUUCAAAUACUCUAGAUUAUAUUUAACGGAGUGGAUUGUCGAUUCGGAAGCUCUAUCAUCGAAAAUAACUUAUGAGUACGAAGGCUCCAAUACUCAUAAGAAUAUAGUAGCCCUACUCUCUCUCUCUCUCUCUCUCUCUCUCUCUAUAUAUAUAUAUAUAUGUAUAUAUAUAAUUUCAAAUUUUUUAUAUCAAAAUUUAAAAUUUUGAUACUUUCAAAUUUUAAAGUUUUAAAUUUUAAAUUUCAUAUUUUAUAUUUAAAUUCUAAAUUUCAAUUUAACUUAUAAUAUUUAUUUCUAAAUUUUAAACUUCAAAAUUUAAAAUUUUUAAUUAAUUAAUUAAUUAAUUAUAUUAAUAAUUAGUUAUAUAUAAUAUAAUUAAUUAAUUUUAUUACUAAUACGCAUAAUAAAUCACGUAAUAAAAUCUAACCCAAUAGAUGCAAUUUUAAUCACGUAAAAUUUCGUUGUAUAAAAAAAAUACGAAAUUUCAAUUUCAGGAGUAAAAUUUUAAAAAUAUAGUGUAUGUGUGUAUAUAUAUAAUUAAUUUUAUUAAACAAUAUCUUCUACAAUUUUAUUGUAAGUCUAUUUAUUGAAUUUUUUAAAAUUAUUUUGAUAAAUUUAUCUCAAAUCCUUUUCAUAUAAAUCUUUAUAAAAUGAAUUGUUGUAUAAAUUUACUUUGCGCAUAUACCAAUUUUAAUGACUUUAUUUAAAUAGAUUUAACUAUUAAAUUAUUUUUAUAUAAUUUUUAUUUAAUUAAUAAUUAGACUUACAAAAUUAUAUAAAAAUAUUGAAAAAACUAAAAUUUAUUAUAAAAAUAUUUUUAUAUCCGCAGCAUCGGGCGGGUAUUUCACUAGUGUUAUUGAUUAAAGGAAGAUCAUUUGCUUUCUACAAAGAAACUAUUAUGGUAAUGUUAUUCCUUUUAAUAACAUCGGAAGAAUGUAUUUAGAUGUUUUCUUCUAAAGAUCAUCAUACUAAUUGGUCAUGUCCCUACCAGAUUCAUGUCCAAAUUUUUUUUUCAAAGUUGACAAAGUUGUGUCCAAGACAUGCUGUGUAUGUGUGCUAAUUUUUGCACUGUCAUGUUCAUUUGGCAUAACAAGCUCGUAACAAAAUUGUGGCAAACAAAGUUUUACAACAAGGUGUGAAAAUACAUAUCAAUGUAAACGCUACCAUAUCUCAUCACCAAGAUCUAUACAAAAACAACCAUAAAAAAAUUGUCCAAAGCAACUCUCUAAAUUCAAUAGAUUGAAUUUCAAAAGAAGAUAAAAAGCUACUCACAAACUAGACCAGAAAACAAUGAAAAAUUACCUUCCCUUGUCGAUAAUUUUCCAAGUCCUCUGUAUCAUCAUCAUCUGGAAAGCGUGCCACUACUGCCACAGCGUUCACUUCUGAAUGAUUCACUAAAAAAUCAACAGCUCUUAAUAACGAAUCAGAGUUCCCAAUCCUCCCAGUUGAUUUUCCACAUUUCGGGUCAAUCCACUUCUCAACCUAUACAAGGUCGGCGUCACUUGCUUUCAUUAAAUAGUUCAAUAAGUAUUUAUGUAGAUGAAUUUUAGUUACCAUAAAUGAGGUUUUAACAUAUAUAUGCAAAUACCGAAGAUUAUAUUCACCUGCGUGUAAGUUCUUCAAAUAACGAUUUUCAUACAUUCUUAACAAGUACUCUUGGAAACAAAGGUCUCCAUACAUAUAUCUAUACCAUGGACAGUACCAAGAGGUUACUCGGGCUUUCUAACAGACAAAAAAUUAAAGAAACUGUUAUUUCUGAGCUUGAACUAGUGUGAAAUCGCCAAUUGUCAAUGAUUAGCAAACAGUUGAUAGAUGUAGGGAAGGGGUAUAGAUAAGAGAGAGCAGGAAUGUUACAUAACUGAAUGAAUCUAGUAUUAUAUGCCUCCUUCCCCUGCUCUUUCUAAGAUAAGCUUUUACAGAAGUCCUUUUCAAUACUGAUAAAUAACCAAGAAAUUUCAGCAACCAUACAAAGAAAAAAAAGACGAGAAAAAAUGUAUUCACAUUUAGGCUUAACACACAAAAGUAUAAUAUAAUUUUAGUUACCAUGACAUCUUUACUUCUGAAAUGAACAUGUGAAAAAGUAUAGAACAGGUAACUUAGGCUCAUAGCCUCAUAGUAGUUUCUUUAACAAGUUUGUGCACCUUCAGAGGAGUAUCGGUAACGAUAUAUUCAAUGACAGGAAGGCCAAGUGCAGCUCUUGUGGCAUCUGCAACCUGUAAAUGGCGAACUCUAAGUUCUUCUUCAAUUCCAGCAUCCAGUACCAAACCUACCUAGGUGUGAGAGAGCAAUUAUGUUAGUUAUGUACAUGCCAUAAUAUAUAAAUGAGCUCCGGCAUUCACAUUACAACAAAUUUGCAGCAUCGCAUGUACGAAGAAUCAACAGAACUUCAUAUCUGGAAUUUUUGCUAAAAGCUGUUAAAGACUACAUACUUUGGAGAUUCUUUUUGUUGACAGAAGGAUACUUUGGCGAUUCUCAAAUAUCAUUAUAAUUUGAUUUGUGUUCAAAGAUUUCGAGAAAACCUGCUAUUAUUGACCCAUCAUCAUUUUCUGUUUUUAGUUGAGGGAUAGACCUCAACAGAUCAUACAUGCAACACUAUCUUACCACUUGUGUCAAGUUAUUACCAAGUUUGUAUCAAUUUUGUUGUUGCUUAAGAAGGCAACUAUCAGCAAAGAGGUGCAAUUUUUAGUGUAUAGACAAUAAGGUUGGUAUUUGGGGAAAAUGAAAAUGUCACAUGCAUUAUUUUUAAAUGCUGGUGAUACAUAUUUAGAUCUUUGGCGAGUUUUGGAACAAAUCAAUAGUGUUAAUUCCAAAGAAAUAAUUUUCUUUUUAAAGAAUCUCUUUCAACAGUUGACACGAUGCUAAACUGCUCUUAGAUGUAUUGAAUACAUCAAAAAAAAAAAAGUAACGAUGCAGAAAGAUAUUAACUUCUAGAAGAUACAAAAAAAAUAGAAAAAAUAUUCUAUUGUUGUAGCGGUUGAUUCAUCUUAUUAUCUCGCUAGCCUUUUCCUAUUAUGCUCUUGAUAAACAAGUGUUUUUGUUUACUUCCUAUUAGAUAUCUUCAUUUAUUUUAGUGGCAUUAUACUAGUUGUUGACGCUGUAUCUUUCUCAUGUAAACUAAGAUGAUAAAAUAUAUGAAGGUCAAAUUCCUGACUACUAGCCAAAGAGAAUCAGGUUAAUACAAAUUUACUUGAAAGUUUCAACUUUAACGAUUGUCCCUAAAGUUUGUCCUCGGAAACAGUAAAUACUUCCAUUAGUCUUCAGUCUGAAAAAAGAUGCCACGUCAUGUUCAUCAUCAGAGUUUGCUAAAGUAACAGUUCUUCAAGGACUCAAAUUAAUGAGGAUGUGGAUGUGGCAUUGUAUUGUUGUAUGAAUUACAAGCUAAGAAAUGCAAAUGUCCCAAAUCUAAGAGUAUUAGUGAAAUUGAGGUCAAACUUCAGGGUGAAAUUAGCCAAAGAGGAAUCUACAUAUCUGUUGUGUACAACAAUUUGUGAAGGUGAAAUUUGAAAAUCACAGCGUAAACAAAUGGAAACAUCUGAAGGAGUUGGUAGUCAAAUGAGAAUAAAUUACCUUGUUUUGGUGAACAGGUUGAAGAGCCCAGUAUCCUUCUGCAAAUCUAUCAAGAGCAUAUCCCUCUACAUAAAGUGCAUUUGGAAUCGGCCAAUACAGCAUUGCCGCAUUCAAGACCUGCCACGAUAACAAUUUGCGUUAGAAACAUUCACAAGAAUAAGAACUUCAUUGUCAGUAACAGAAAUUUGAAUAGGAAACUUGUUAGUGUCUUCUAUAGGUAAUGAAACCUGCACCAACAGCAAAAAUACUACAACAGAAGCAGGACAAAUAACAACAGAACCUUUUCAUAAGCAGGAACAGAUUCUGUAGAUGAAGGACGUCAUAAAUUUCGUGCAAAAAAAAAAAAAAAAAAAAAACACACGAAACUCUUGAGCGUAUAUGCUCUUUUUCAGAUUGAUACAUACAUAAAAAACAUCCUUACAUCAAACUUAACAUAAAGAAGACAAAUAAAAGAAGUUACAAGGUAACCACCCACUACCCUAUGAUGGCUCCUACAAAAUAGGAAGUAACCCAAAUCAAACUGAACAACAACAGCAAAGCAUUAAAAAAAACAUCUACCACAACAGCCUUGAACCAAUCCAACAAAACUGAAGCUUUUUAAAUGAAGUUCUAAACAACAUUUUAUUGCCUCGCUAUCUUAUGAAAGAAAUUUGGCACAAAAAGAUGUAUAUAAGUCGUAAAUGAUCGCAAUUAUUCCCUAACUAAAACCAUGAGUUAGUAAAACCUGUACCUACCAUUUGAUUCCUUAACAUGUCAACAAUCCAAUAAUCAGCUUGCAUCAAAAUUCAUAAAUAUAUUCGUCAGCAUUAACUUAAAAAGAAGUUUCGAUUUUACUAUCUGACCUUCCAAGAUUGUACCAUCCAGCAUCACAGUAUUAUAACAUUUUGCAAGAAUGUUAUGUGAUAUAAAAGAAUAUUCCAUUACUCGAUGGGAUAUACGAUACAAAAUCUACGAAACUAACUAUGUCACUAAAAAGUUUAAGUUAUUAGAGGACGGUGUUUUCAUAGUCCUAUAUUCAACCGUUCCGGCCUUCUCUCAUAGAUUGGCUCAUGAUUUUUAUAGGCCUAUGAUAUGGAUUUUGGAUAAGGGCCCAUUUGGUACUGAGGGUCGCCUAACGCUAUUAGGCCAAAAGAAGCUGGAGCAAAAGCAUGUAAACAUAUCACUUUUCGUUUUUUGAUGGUACCGCAAAAAUCAUAUCUAAACAAAACUAGUCCGACUUGCACGUGCAUUACAAUUUACAAAAACAAAUGAAAUAUUCUCCUAUCACACUUUCUCACCGAACAUAACCCAUCUACCCCCCGCCCCCCAUCCGAAAUGAAGCCUAAAGGGGAGAAAAUCAAAUGAAACUAGAAGUUUAGGUAGUAGACCCUAAACCCUGUGUCUCUAAAAGCUUAAGCUGCUAAAGUACGGUAUUUUAAUCCCUUUUACACUUAACAGAAUCAAAACAUUUAAACUUCAGGCCUCAAUGGUUGUCUUUGCCGUCUUUUUAUUUUCUUAUAUAGAAUUUCUAAAUGAAAUAGAGCAUAAGACAAUGGCGGUUUGCUUGCAAUCUUUAUAUUCAAGGUAUUUAUUUCGCAACAAAACCAAAAAUUGGAAGUAACUUCUCUUUUACUUUCGAAAUUUUUAUUAACAAGAUGUUAUCCAUCGAAGCGAAGACCCACCAUGCAUUGCAAACAAUCCAAUCAUGACAACAAGAAGAAAGUCAUUCUGCUUAUAUAUAAAAUUAUAUAGAAUUAAGGAGCAAUCGCCUAUAUCUAACAAAUUAAAUUUUGAGCACCAAAGUCUCACGCGCCUCAUAGUUCGAGGACCAAAAGUGUAACUUAUCCAAAAAGUAAAGAAAAAAAAAGACAGCAGUACCGAACGAGUCCUCUACUAGGGCUUUCAACGAGCCGAGCACGAGUGAGCUGGGGCUAGCUCCUGUUCCGCUCGUUUAAUAAAUGAGCAGAACACGAGCUGGCUCGUUAAAUUAUCCAGCUCGCGUUCGGUAUGUUUAUUAACGAGCCAAACAAGAACUAGCUCGCGAACAACAAGCUAGAUUGUCAGCCCUACUACGGGGUGAAAAGUUGGAAGAACAUUACAAAAUUAGAAUCUUAAUUUAAUAAUUAAAAUCCACAAAACAUAGGUCUCUUUAUAUUUGGGCUGCCCUAAAAUCCAAAUAGUAAAAAUUUAUAAUUAUAUAAUAUUCAAUAUUAUAAAUUUGAGCUAUAGCCCCAGCUCGUGUUCAGCUCGUUAAGAUUUCAAGCUAAAAAAUUCAGUUCAUAUUCGGCUCGUUUAUUAAAUCAACGAUUGAUCUCGAGCACAUUUUGAGCCGAACAGGAGUUCACUCGCGAACAGUGAGCUGAAUUGCGAACCCUAUCCUCUGCUAUCCAGUACAAAAAUACUGGCAGAUAAAAAGGUUAGACAGUAAAAUCAAAACAUUUUUAAAUUCUCGCGACUUCGCGAAAAAAAGGUGAGAGAGAGAGAGAGAGAGAGAGAGAGAGAGAGAGAGAGAUUACGUUGGGAUGGGAGAUGAGGCAGUCGGCGACGGCGGCGACGGUGCGGGCGACCGGCAGCGCGUCGCCGGCGAACCCCCCGACGGCGGCGCCCACGCCGGUGGGGACGAUCAGCACCGUCGUGUACGGCCUCUUCGGCCACUGUGGACGGCCAGGAUGAGUCCACGUCAAUUAUUUAGUAUUAUUUAUUAUUAUAGGAAAUAAUUUGAAUCGCAUAUACCGUAGGAGAGGGAGCGAGGGCGCAAGAGAAGCGGCGGAGGGUGGCCGAGGACGGGGACGACGGACGGCUGGGGAGCGUCGGUCGGCGGAACGGACGGCUGGGAUGGAGAGCUGCCAUUGGAGAGCGGAGCUGUGAAAAACUCCCGCCGAGCAAUUGAAACAGGGGUUUCUCAGGAUAACGUUUAUUAUUGAGGAAAGAAAGCGGGCUGGAAAUGGAAAUCGGGCCGAAAUUUCAUUUUCGGAGCCCCGUACCCGGCCCGGUACAGAAUGUAAAUGUAAACGUUAGUUUCUUUUGGCUAAAUUACAUAAAACCCUCCUGUCAAAACCUAAUUUUUCACCUUUCCCCCCUAUCAUUUAAAAACCUACACUUUGCCUCCUUAUAAAAUGAAAAAUAAAAAAUGUUCACUUCGCCUCCUGCCGUUAGUAAUCCGUUAGGGUUCCGUUUAUAAAAUAUUAUUAUUAUUUUUUAUACCAAAAAUGCCCUCAGCCUUGAACAUACUGAGAGGCAAAAUGAUAAGGGGCAAAAUGGUCAUUUUAUCAUCACAGUUCACACCGUACCCCCCUAUGAACAUUUUUUAUUUUACAAGAGGGCAAAGUGUAGGUUUUUAAAUGAGAAGGGGGAAAAGUGAAAAAUCAGAUUUUGACAUAAGGGUUUUCUAUAAUUUAGCCUUUUUUUUUGGUUAAUUUCAUUCAGCUCCUGAUGAAUAUAUCGAAUAGCAAAUAUAUUCCUAUAAAGUUUAACUUUUCAUUAUUUCUUUAUCCUUAUAAAAGUUCAGUGAUAUUCAUAUUUGCCCCUUUGGUUUAUUACCAUUAGAGUACUAUUUAUUUUUAAACAAAAGAUAAGCGAAAUGACAUUUGUGUGAUCACAAAUAUGUCCAUCCAAAAAUCACAAUUGUUAUAGUUAUAUAGAAACUUUCUCGUAAAAAUCUCCAACGGUUAUCUUCUUCUUUUCUACCAUCACAAAUAAUAUAAGAAGGGUAAAAAAUUCAAUUUACCUCAUUUGCUAAUUAAGUAUUUACCUAUAGUUAACUACAAUUUUCUAAUAGAUCCUAAUAAUAAGGGUAUAUUUAAAAACGUUAGAAUUUUGUAAGGAGUAAAUAUAAAAAGUUGAACUUUGUAGGGAUAUCUACUAUUUGAUAUGUUUACAGGGAGUUGUAUGCAAUUAACCUUUUUUUUGGAAUAAUUUGUUUAUGUACUCUUGAAAAGUUUCAAACUUUCUCAUUUAACCCCUCAGAAUGCUAAUAUAAAAAGUACCUUUUUAAUGUUUCAAAUAUAUUCCUAAAGUUAAAUCUGAUAGUGGACGAUUAGAAACAAUCGUUAUCUCUAUAAAAUUAUUAUUUUGUCCUUUCAAAUAUACCCUUCUACCGUCACCAAUUUUUUUAUUUUCUCUUAAAUUAGGAGCAAAAUAAGUAUUUUGACUUUUUACCAUUUCAAAUAUACCCUUCUACGGUCACCAGCUUUUCUUAUUUUCUCUCCAGUGGGCAAAAUGUUCUUUAACUUCUUCUUAACUCUAACAGAAAUUUAACCCUAUUUAAUCCGAGAUGACUUAACGGAUACUAACAUAGUUAUUUUUUAACACCAUUUUUAUUAUUUUUAUAAAUUUUAUAAUUUUUUAUGUCAAAAUGAGUUGGCUAUAUACUGUACCACUUAAUUUUAACCGGUAUUUUUUAAUAGUUUUUAUAUAAGAUUGUAGUUUUAUUGCCUACGGUGUAGGACUUGGAAAACAAAAAAAAAAAAAAGAUAUAGUUCAGUGAAUAUGCAAAAUACAGUAUAUAUAUAUAGUAUAGUAUAGUGUAAUUAAGCCUUAUACAAAUUAUAAACUUGCGUGUUUAUAAUGUAACAAUCAACCACCAAUCAAAAUAAGCACAGCCAUAAUUAAGCUAACUAACAAAACAAGUCCAAGUCAUUUUCAAUCUCUUCUAGAAUCUUCUAGAAUCUUCCAGAGACAUGCUUAUUCCAUGAUUUUAAAACAUAGCACACAUCACUUAUUCAUACAUAACAAGCAACACCAAAUUAAUAUAUAUAUAUAUAUAUAUAUAUAUAUAUAUAUAUAUAUAUAUGAUAUUUUAAUAACUUUAAUUUGGGUGUUCAAGGAAGGAUCUUCAAUGGCCGGAUCAUAGCAUUGUCUUCGUGAUCCAAUAUCUGUUCAAGUAAAACACGCACGCUUGAGAGAAAGAAAGAUCAUACGUUAACAGUUCAAAAUUUAAGAUAAAUAUUUAAAUAUACUGUUUAUUUUAUAAAAUUUAAUAUAGUAUCAAAGCGAAUCUUAUCGAGUAUAACGAUCCGACCCGCUAGCAACAAUAACUCGUUGGGCCAAACCAUCGGCCCAAAAUGCCAGUUAUUAUUAUUAGCGUGUAGACCUUAUAUAAACUAGUCGAAAUCAGGCAUUACACCGUUAUUAUUAUUAGCGUGUAGACCUUAUAUAAACUAGUCGAAAUCAGGCAUUACACCGUUAUUAUUAUUAGCGUGUAGACCUUAUAUAAACUAGUCGAAAUCAGGCAUUACACCGUUAUUAUUAUUAGCGUGUAGACCUUAUAUAAACUAGUCGAAAUCAGGCAUUACAAACUCCCUCUCUUUAUACCCUGACGUCCUCGUCGGGUCCAAAUCAGAUCACAGACAGACACCCGCAUAGCACUUAGCUCUCAUACUUCCGGCUGAUAUUCGGCUUUGAUAUCAAUUACAACGACCCAACCCGCUAGAAACAAUAACUCGUUGGACCCAAACCACCGGCCCAAAAUGCUUAAGGCUAGUUAUUAUAACAAGCGUGUAAGUCUCAUAUAAACUGAUCGGAAUCAAUAUCCCAUCCGAUGUGGGACUAUUGGAGCGUUACAUCGAUCUUCUUGCUUUGUUUAAUUCAGUAGAGAGAUCCUAUAAUGCUUAAUUUUUUUUGAGAACAAGGAUUGCUUUUAUAUAAUUAAACACUAACUUGGUUAGGCCUGGCCUAUAUAUACAGUAUUACUAUUCUCCACGUAUAUUUUGCUCCGCCUUACUGAUGAAUAAAGUGUUGCUUAAUAAAAUAUUAUCUAAUUAAGAAGAGUUAUUAGAGAAAACCCUACUUGCUUAAUAAAUUAAUGGCUACCGCGUAUAGCGGAUUAUAUAUAUAUAUAUAUAUAUAUAUAUAUAUAUAUAUAUGCAUACGAUUCGAGAAGCAUAGCAUUUUUCUAAAAUAAAAUACGCACGUGACAAUGGUAGACGUAUCCCGGCUCGGCCGUGGCAUCGAAGGGAUAGGUCUGGUUUGUAUCCACCAGCUUGAACGCCGCCACCACGCUCGUCACGAACCCAGGCUCGAUCUUCACCACGUUCUUCCACGUCUUCUCAUACUCCGGCACCGCCAACGUCGUCCCCGCCGCGUGCUCCGUAACGUUGCACUUGACGGCGUCGUUCGCCACCCUCAUACAAGCAGUGAACUUCUGCAGGUCCAGUAGCUCCUGCACUUUGAUCGCCUGAAACAUCCCCAGGUGUAUGUGUAGCGGAUGGUUAUCCCCCGUUAGGUUUAUCACGUGCCACAGUUCCGUGCUACCGGAUUUUGGCGUCUCCGUCACGGGGUCCUCCAGUCGUAGGCCAUUGAUGUAUAAGUGUGUCGGCUCGCCGGACGCGGUCUGGUACUCGUACAUCACAAUGUACCUGUUAAUUUCAAGUCCAGACAUGACGGAGAGUGUUGAUUGUUCAGUUUUUUAAGAAAAGCGGUUGUUCUCUGUAUCAGUUAUAAAUAGUACCUAGUCAUUGUUGUUGUUGGGUCCGGUGUGGUCACUGUUGCGUAGUCCACUUCCUUCUCUGGGACGGUCGAAUUGUCCGGCGGGUCCAUGUUCGACUUCGGUUGUACGAUAAACUUCAUGACCUUGCCGUUCAAGGGGCCCGCCGCGGUGCCGUUGGGGUACGGAUACGGUGCGCUAUUCAGGAGCUCCGCCUCUCCGGUGGGCGAUAAGGAGAAGUCGAUCACAACAUCGGCUAGCUCGGCGGGGGCUAAAAUGAUUGUGGGCGUCGUGACGGGGGCAGAAAGAUAGGAGGAGUCCGAGCCGACGACGUAGAGCGGGAGGUUGUUGGAGAGUGAAAGGUUGAAGUAGCGCGCGUUGCUGGCAUUGAGGAUGCGGAAGCGGUAGCGUCGGCGACGGACAGAGAGAAAGGGCCAGGCCUUGCCGUUGACGGUGACGGCCUCGCCGAAGUACUCGGGUUGCCACUGGGGGUGGAUCGAGGGGACGUUGCCGGUGGCGUUCAUGUAGAGGGAGCCAUCGACGUUGAAGCUGCGAUCGGCAAUGAUGAGGUGAAGGUCAUCGUCGUUGCACGGGAGAUUCAUAGGAUCGUCGACGGACGGUUUCUCAAUGACAUAGGCACCGAGGAGUCCGGCGAGGAGGUUAGCGCGAGUGAGGCCAAGAGCAUGAUCAUGGUACCUGUCGAAUAUGUACUUCAAAAAUAUUAGUUUUUGAUCAUUUAAGCAUACACAGAAGAACAGAUGUACAUUUACAGUACCAGAGAUUGCCGGGCGGCUGAACGUUAGGGUACGUAUACGUGGUUUGGGACCACUUGGGGCCAGUCUCUUUGAAAUCAGCAGUAAACCAAGCGAAAGGGCUGCCGUCCGACUGCGGAGAGUGGACACUGCCGUGAAGGUGGACGACGGUAGGGACACCGCCGGACUUGGGAAUGGCAGUGGGGAUCGUGGGGUCCCAUGAGAGGAUGUGGGACUGGGGAAGGUGGUUCUCCCAGGUGACAUAGAGGGGAACGCCGUGGCGGGCGGUAAUGGUGGGGCCAGGAAAAGUAGCGGCCGUCAGGGAAGUUCCAUAGACGAAAACCGAUGUCGCAGGAAGGUCGCGAUGAAAUUUCUGCAAGAUAAUUAAACAAAAUUAAAAAUUUAUGAUUAAAGCAUUUUGGUAUAAAAAAUUUAUAGAACUUAUCUGAACUAUGGACCACUCUGAACUCGCUACUACCAAGCCUCUCAUUUUGUUUAAUGUGAGUCAGUCAAUGGUAUUUUGAUCUCAAAAUUUGAAUGCAUCAUUUAUCUUUAUAUAUAGGUUUAAUUAAUAUGCUCCAUACAAUUCGCACAACUAUAAAUUUGUGAGUUUAGUUAGCUUAAAUUUUAAAGUUAAAGUACCAUUGACCGACUAAAAUCUAUUAAAUGUCCGUCGAAAUUGGUAAUCGGCUUCAAUUUUGGGACUCUGAUUCGUCUGUCUGUUAGAUAUUCCCUGCAAAAGAUUUUUACAUAAAUUUGUGUAUUUUUUUAUUUUUGUUUGUGGUUUUUUUAUUUUGUGUUUGCUAUUUUCAUUUCUAUUUGUGAGCUCGUCGUAACAAAAUCAAAUAAAUUUAAAGGUUUAGUAGUAAAAUUAAAAUUUUGAAAGAAAAUGAUUCAUAGUUGUGAUAAAUUGUAUAUAUGUUUAAUACCAAAAGAAAAUAAUAAUAGGGAUGUGAAUAGAAGAUUAUAUACAUACCCACAUCUUCUGAUACAUGCCAAUGGUGAGGUUGACAGGGACCGGGGAACCAUUUCGCAAGUUGUAGCCAUAAAUUUUGGGCAUUUGUGGGAGUGGAUCCACAUACAUUUGGAGUGACCCAGCCACUUUUUGAAGAGUUUGUUGAGUCACAGGUGCCACUGUAGUUUGAGAGAACACAAGGGAAACUGCUGUUGAGAGAAGUAGUAAUGUUGCUGCUUGUAGUGUUCUUGUCCCCAUUUUCCACCUUUUUUUCUGGUUUUUUAAUCUGGUUCUGCUUUAAAAAGAAGUUCAUGAGUGAAAAGUGAUUAGUAAUCUUAAUUAUUAGUUACCAUCUAAUUAAUUAAGUUUAAAGACAUAUUUGACAAUUAAUAUACUUCGCAAUUUCUCACCAAUGAACCAUGCAUGAUCAUAUUUGGUUUGGGGAUUUGUUGGAAGAUGUUAAUUAAUUUAGAGAGUUUUAGUUCCUGCAGUUAUUUCGACUGUGUUUUCUGGUUAGAUCGUUCUACUAUUUGAUCACUCUAAUGAAUAUAUAUAUAAUAUAGCUCUUUCUAAAUAUAAGCUCUACGCUGCACAAGAUUUGAUGUACAAAAUGGUAGUAAUUGUACUCUUUCUAUCGAUAGCAAUUCAUAUCCAUCAAAUAUAUGCGUUAAAAAAAAUUAAAAGAAAAUAUGACAAAAAUAUACAUAUAGAAUAAGCUACAAAUAUAAAUGAGAGAGAAAGAGAGAGAGAGAGACCCACCAAGCUAGAGAGAGAAAUUAAUUAGGUGGAAGGUGAAAGAAGAUAAGGGGCGUGUGGCGAGCACAAGUCCAGUGCCUUGGUUGUUGAGCAAAGGCCCUCUUAUAUAUAUAGCCGAGGUGGUCAUAUAUAUGGAAAACAACUAUACUUAUUAAUUAAAUAAUAAUAAUAAAAAAAGGGUCAAUUGCAUGCAGGUCCAUGCAAACGAAGUGAUUUGCAGAUAUAUUCCUGUAAAGUUCAAACUUUCAUAAGUUAUUCCUACAAAAGUUCUAAUGUCUUCAGAUAUGUCCCUACCAUUAUAAUCCGUUAGAAAAGUUUAGUAGGCUAAAAGCUUUACCCGGAUUAAUUUUUGACAUUUUUACCCCUCUUAUAUUAUACUAUUAUAAUUUUUAAAGGGACAUAUUUGUAAUGGCAAAAUUAAAAAUAUAAACAGUUUUCUAACGGUUCUCUAACAGUAACAAACCAGAAGGAUAUAUCUGAAAAUAUUAGGACUUUUGUAGGGAUAACUUAUGAAAGUUGAGCUUUACAGGAACAUAUCUGCAAUUCACUAUGUUUGCAGAGAUCUAUAUGCAACUAAUCCUAAAAAAUAGAAGAAAAAAAGAAAACCACUAUACACCAUUCAAUAAUUAAUAUUAUAAUAAUAUUGGAGAAAAUUUUCAUUAUUAUUGGACUCUAACCAUUGUCAAAUCCAAGGGGCGCUUGCUCUAGUUACAAUUUGGUCUCAGGGUUAACCUAAAAUUUUGUUUAUAUAAUUGGAAAGAGAUUGAGAUGACAAGUCAACACUCUUAUCCCCCUCUCGAAGGAGAUUAAGGGCGAGUGGUUUGGUAAUAGAAAUUAAAGUUUAGUUAUAUAAACUACAACAAAAACGGUCUAUAGCGACACUUUUAAAUAUAGGUAUAUGUCAAAAAAAUGCUGCUAGCUAAAAUUACCGACACUUUUAAAAAGUGUUGCUAUAUGUGGGGUCACUAGGUAUAUAGUGACAGUUAAAGAGUGUUGCUAUAACCUAAAAGAGUGCUGUUAAUUUACCAACACUUAUUUAAGCAUUUAGCAACCGCCGAAACUCUAUAUCGUUGGCUGCGGUGGCGGAGGAGGACGACAGGAAAGGCUCUUCGUCUAGAAUUUCAGUGGAUUGAGUGAAGAGAGAAGAAAAGAUGGUAAUUGAUUUUUCUUUUUUUUUUCUUUUUUGUUUAUAAUCGGGGCAAAUGGACUGGGUGUGGUGGAUUGAGUAGAGUAAUCUUUUAUUUUGGUUGGAUUGGGCUUUAUAUUUAAGCAUUAGUAGAUGUUUUUUUAAGUUUUAGCAUAAAUGGGACACUUACUCAAAAGUGUCCCAAACAUGUGUCCCUAUAAUCUAAUUUUGUUGUAGUGUAUCGUGAAAACUUUAGUUUGUGAACUCUAAUUCAGCUGUUCGGUGCGGGGAAUUAGAUGAGUAUAUAAGUAGGUUUUUGCUGGAGAGCAAAGUCGUUUGAUUUUGCUAUUCUUCGAGCAAAGCCGUUUUGAAUCUGGUUUAUUGAUUUGGUCUUUGUUGAACCCUAUAAAUAUUACCCUAGGAAAGAUUGAACCUGAUACUUUAACAAAUUGAAACUUGAUCAAAUCGGAUUAAAUUGACAAGUAAUGAGCAAUCAAAUAGUUUGACCAAUUCUCAUCACCAUUUUCUCAAUCUUUUAUAUUUUAGGAUGGUACACCAACUCCAGUACAGCUAUGAAUUGUACUUAAUGGGUGGCCCAAUCACAUGUUAAUUCUACACUUAGAAUCAAGGGAAUCAAAAGGGUUCACAUUAUUUUAGUAUACAAGGUCAACUUGAACCAUUUUUAUUUUAUUCAGAAAAAAAAAGAAAAGCAUGAGCCCAUAUAUAUGUAUAGAAAUUUAAGUACCUUACGCAAGCUAUGCAUGGAAAUAUCAAGGCAAAUGCAUAUGGGGGGUGGACCCACCAUGUUUUUUGUCUUGUUGUGUAUUUAGUCUUAAGCUCUCUUUCUUUUUUUCUUUUUUUUAUUAUUUUUUGUUUGAAAGAGUGUAUUAAGUCUUAAGCUCUACCUAACAAGCAACCCUGGAAGGGUCCAUGUGGGGUUCAGUUGGAUACAGUUUUAUUAUGGCAGGGUUCCACACUUUGAACAUAAUUAAGAGCAAGGGAUUGUUUCAAAGCGGAAAAUAGGCAAGCGAGAAAUUUAUGAGUUUUGCAAGCUCAAUUUCAUUCUCCAUUCUACUGAAAAUAGGGGACUAUUAUCAUCUUGACCGCACAUCUUUUUAUCCAACGGCCGAAACUCGAUAGCACCAAACACUUAGUACUAUCGAUAGUAUAGUAGCAUAUAUAUAUAUAUAUAUAUAUAUAUAUACAGAGCUAGGCUGGUAUAUUAUCGGUAGCACGAAGGCCUCCGUGCUACCAAGUUGUUUUCAAUGAUGUAGCUUCCAAAUCGACUAUCGGCUCCAUUAGACUUAAUUUACACGUACACUAUUAAAAAUAUUUGAAAAUUAAAUUUCAUAAUUUUUCGACGUCAUUUGGCUAGUGAUCAAAAGGUUUCAAAAUUGAUAAUUUUAAUGGUAGAUGUGAUGCAUUUGUAAAUUUAACGAUGUAAAACAAUCCAAAUCAGAUAAAAUUUUUAUAGAAAAUUUUUUUUACUACUUAAAGUAAGAUCAGUACCUCUUAUCUUAAAUUCAAGCCUUCUAUCAUCAUUUUUUAUGAAAUUUUAUUUCCAGCCAUUCAUUUUUAGACUACUCGUUUGAUAUUUAAAUGAUAUCGAAAAAUUAUAAAAUCUAGUUUUCAAAUACUUUCAAUAGUGUAGAUCAAGUCUAACUGUCACGACCGGGUUUCAGCAGAAGUGUACCCGAUACAUGCACAAACCCGCCAUAUACCUACAGUAUACAAGGCGUCUACUAAAAUCAUGUAAGGAAAGAAGUGAUCAACAGAAGAAUCUAACCCAAUAUCAGAGCAUAGGACAUAUAAAAGGUACUAACAGCUAGCAGAUAAAUGAUACAACUCCACUAAACAACAGAAAGUAGAAGCAUAAAACUGUAAAGUACAACUCUUUACAACUGAUAUACAUCACAGUGUCACACAAAACUAUAUACAAAGGGUACGUAGUCUCUCUAUACAGUGGUACACAUCACCCUCGUCGACCCCAAAAUCAUAGUAGCGGAAUGAUCACCUAGUAGGACUCCACGCUACGCCUAGCUAGACACGACUCCCUUGCCGCGAUCCCUAGCCUCUCCCGUAGUGGAUGGCUCUGUAAACAAACAACAACAAAAGGCGUGAGAACUGUUAAACAAUAGUUUCCAGUGGGCAAGCCGCCGACCUCCGCGGAUUACACCACUAGGUUUAUGAGGUAUGAAAAGAAACAUGUAUAUCCAUUGCAUAAAGAAAGAAAUAAUGCUGCAAACAACUAGUAAAUAUUAAAAUUACUAGGUUCUCAAUAUCAUAGUAAUAACCCACAAGUGAAAACUAUGCUAUGCAAGUAAGCAUGCUAUCUAACUCAUGAAUGCGCACUAUCAAGUAGUGACUAAUAGCAACACAGCUUAGUACUUGUUCAGUUCAUAUGGAUCUAUACCAAGUAAUCCAGCUUGCGCCGCGCCUAAUGACCCCGUGGUAGUCAACACUCCCCACGGCAAUCCACUUCGGCACCCAAUCCCGCACGGGCGAGCAAUCUAUCGCGUAGGCCAACUCCGGAGUGCCGGCUUGUGGGGAGCGACCCUUACAAGCAUGUGCGAAUGAGCACAAUGGCAAGCAAGCAUGAUCCAUAGUUCACAAGUCCUCAAUCGUCAUGUUUCAAACAUGAAAAGAUCUCUACCGACCUAUAGGUCGGAAUCUAAAGAUAAUAGAAAAUACUAGUAUCAACUAGAUUAUGCAUUCAAAGGAAAUUGACGCUAGUGUAAACAUGUCAUUCGCAUUGGUAACUGGUCUACACAAGUAUGUUAAUUGUCAAGUUAUGGAUUUCAUAUCUUGUUCUCUACUUAAUAGAGAUAUACUGGUUCAUAACGUCUAAUGACAAUCAGUACAUUGAGUCCUUCUUUAUUAUGCUAAUAGCAUAAGCAUAUCUAAUCGAACUAUGUGUUUACAUACAAGGCUGAAAAUUAUUAAGCAUGCUAUAUAAUGAACUAGCUCUCAAUCCACUACUUUAUAAGAUUCUACUUCGACAGUAUGAAGCAAACAUAUUAGCUAUCUUAACCAUAUUGCACAUUGUGAGUCUAAUGACACCGCAAUAUUCAAACCACAAUUUUAUAGCAUUGUUAAGAACAUAGAGGGAAGCCAUUUAUUCCGAUGAGGUCAAACCCACCAAACAGUUAACGCCUCUUGUCAACUCCGAGAAUGAGGAUAUCUACAGGACUCCAAGUACCCUAGCAAGCAAAUCAAAAUCAGCUAGGAGCUUAUUUCACAUCUCUAUGCCAAAGUACGCACAAACCUCACAUACUCACCUAGUUAGGCAAGACUCCCAUUUAAGAUUGAACCCAGGUUGAAUCUUCUUUACUUAAGGUUAGAAUACAUUCAAUCUAACUCUUAGUAAGCCUCAAAAUCUCAGCCAAAAGGUCUCACACUAGCUGCAACCCUGCUGCGGACAAUCACCAAAAACAACAUUAGUACACCUAUGCAACUACAUAGUAUAGGCUGGAAUUUUACUUGCGUGGAUUCCCAACCUGGAAUUUCACCUCCUACAAGUCACAGUAUACCCAAAUCAGCUCCCAGGGGUCUCUAUACUCAGCUCAAAAUAAGUUUCCAAGCUACGGAGCACAUAUACUAAAAUCAGCCCCACUAUUCAUCAUUAUUUCUAAUAUAGUGUCAACAUAAGGCCAAUAAUUAAUUACUCACCUUCUCAAAGCUUCAGCUCAACUUCUCACCUGGAUUAGAGCUGAAAACCAACACCAACCUCUGAUUCUACAAUGGCUAGAGCCUUCUCUACUUCAGCUAGCAACAAAGAAACCCAAAUACUACUUAGAUCCAUUACUAUGCCUCAAACUAGUGAGUAAUUGAGUAGCUUACCUCUCCAAAGCAUCAACCCAGCUACUGUUGUGCUCAAGGAUGCGAAACACUCCUCAAAACCCCUUCUUCUUCCUUCAACAACAGCUCCAAGGCACUCCCAAUCAACUAACAUCAAGCAAGGAGAAGAAAUCAAGCUUAAACCAUUGAUUUCUUUGUAGAAAGAGAAAAACCCUAGAGAGAGAAAGUGAGGAAGGUGCAAAACCCUUUUUCUGAGCUUUAGUGACCCUCCAGCAACUUCAGGAGUCGUGCUGGCCUAUUUAGAGAUAAGGUUGAAUGCCAAAAGACCAAAGAAGCCCUUGCUGCCACGAAGCAGCUAUGCUGGUACCGGUACUGACCCACUCAGGUACCGGUACCCUGUGCAGAAUAUAGAAUUGGCAUUUCGCAAUGCACUUUCUUGCUUCGGACAAUCCAACCACUCUACAAAUUUAUCAAAACCUUACUACCACUCAUUAGAAGAUGUGGGUUAUCUCCAAUUACUAAUUCCACUCUUGAACUUCGUAAUUUGCCAAGUUCAGAGUUCUACACUAACGGAGCCGAUUGUCGAUUUGAAAGAGGCAUCAUUGAAAACAACUUAGUAACACGGAUGCUAUCAAUAGUAUAUCAACCUAGCAUAUAUAUAUAUAUAUAUAUAUAUAGUCCAGCUACUAUGCUAUUAAUAGUACGAAGCACUUGGUGCUACCAAUUAAGUUUUCCGCUGUUAGAUCUAUCAUUUUGAUCAUUUUCACACGAUCAUACUAUUCAACCAACCACCCACUCAACCCUAGGGGGCCCACAUCAUUCUAACCGCACAUCUCUUAAUCCAAUGGCCAAAACUUGGUAGCACCAAUGACUUGGUGCUAUUAAUAGUAUAUUAGCCUAGUUCUAUAUAUAUAUAUAUAUAUAUAUAUAUAUAUAUAUAUAUAUAUAUAUAUCACCCAUCAAUUUUGAUGGAUGGUUAGGAUGAGAGAGAAAAGAGAAAUUGGAGAAAAAUUUAAAAAGAAGAGAAAUUGAGACAUCUAAUUUAAAAUUCAAAUUUAAAAUUUAAAAUUUAAAAGACAAAUAGGUUAGAAUUUUUUUUUUCUAAGAAAGUGGUAGAGGGAAUAGGAGUGAAAGCGAAUUUUGAAAAGAUGCAUGAUAAAGUAAAUUGGACAUUCUUUAGAUAAUGGAAUUGUGGGGUUUCAACAACAAAUGGUGCGGAUGAAUACAGCAGCAUAUUGGAAAUGGUAAAGUAAUUGUGAUCGUAAAUAGAGAGGCAACAAAAUAGAUGAAGAUAAAGAAACAGUAUAACAGAAAGAUUUGCUAUCCCUUAUUCUUUUUUCUAGUGGAGGAACAUCUAGCCAGAAUGUUAGAAACUGCAUCGAGAAAUAACUUUAUUAUAAGGAUUGGAACCACAGAAGACACCUGGUGGCACCAUACGACACCAGCACACCACCGCUAACCCGCACCACGAGAAAAUGCAUGCCCACGUAGUGGGGUCGCUGGUCCCGCAAACAACAACAACAGUGCACCACCGCUAACCCGCACCACGCGCUUCGCCACCACCGACCACUUUACCCCCGUAUUUAACAUCGUUUCCUCUCGUGGCUAUCACCCCAGCCACGUCAGCAUCUCUCUCGUUAGAAUUAACGGUCCUACUCCUCACGCGGGGUUGAGUUUCCAUCGCCCAUCCCCCUUACAAAAAUUAUGAGUUUUUUUUAAAAAUUUUUCUUUUGUGUUUUUAAAUUAAAUAAAUAGUAGGAAAAGAAUAUUCGUAUUGUGCGAAACAUUUGGGAGAUGGCUCCCUUGGAAAAGCAUCCAAUCAGGAUUGGCGAAAGUGCCACGUAUACACCUUUUAAUCCUACGUGGGCAUGCAUUUCAAAAUGAGAGGCCCAAACAAGGCGAUAGAUGCGUAUAUGGCUCUUAUGCAAAACUGCAUGAUGGAUACACUCGUGAAUGAUAAAUUAAUUGCUUAAAACCUACAAAGAAGAACCCAAAUUUACAAUGAUCUCAAAAUAAAAACCCAAAUACAUGUAGAAAAAAGACAAAAAAAAAAAAAAAAGAGCUCACAUAUGGACUUUUCAAUGAAUGUGCCAUGUUUAUUGGCAUAUUCUAUAUCAAUUCGCAACUUGAGAAAGAAGAAGAUCUAGAAAUUUAUUUGUAGCGUGCAAGAGCCAUUACAUAACUUUCAAUUUUUUCAAAACUCUUCAAUAAGCAAAUUUGUAUAUGAAGGAGGAAAUAGGGUUCAAAAUUUUGUAGUUCUACGUAAAAAUUAUUAUAUGUAUAUAAAUAGUUGAUUGAGAGACUUAUUGUCUGAGAUUUUAUUUAUGGAAAAACUAGUUCCAUCUGUGUUAAUACAUUGUGAUAGCACUGCUGCUAUUGGUAGAGUAAGAAAUCGUUAUUAUAAUGAUAAAUCCAGAUCCGUGAGAAGAAAAUACAGUACUGUGAGAUCAUAUAUGAAUAAUGGAAUUAUCAGUGUAGAUUAUAUUAAAUAUACUGAUAAUUUCGCUGAUCCAUUAACCAAAGUCUUGGAAAGAGAAAGGAUCUGAAGCACAUCGAGGGGGAUAAGGUUGAAGCCCAUAACAUCAUGAACCACGUAUGAGGAUACCCAACCCGAUGAUCAGAGAUCCUGAAAAUUGGGUUCAAUGAAAAAAACGAAUCAUAUGAUGGUCAUAAAGAAUGCACAAUAUAUAGAUCUAUAUGAUCGCAUCUUUACCUAUCCCUAUGGUGUGGGUACAUUCAUCCUGUAAAAAAAAGAGGGUUGAGCUUUUGCUCUUAUAUGUGGCUCUUAUGAGCAGGGUAUUAGAAUUACAGGAGCACCCUUGACGGAUAUCACCUAUGUGAGCAUGGAAGUGAGCCUGCUUCCUAUGAGAACGGACUUAUUCUAAAAAAUACUCAUAAAAAUCAGGAUCGGCACAAGGCGGUAACGUGCUAGCUAAUAAAGCUCAUGUCAACACCUGGAUUGUUAUAUGUGGGCAGUGACUUUCUAUUUUUCCUAAGCAGCCAAAAUUCAAGUCUGAGACCACUUUAGCUCUGCAGUAGAGAUUACUGUUUCACUAAGUGAAGGUUCAAUGCAGAGCACACCUUCAUUAUGUAUAACGGUCUAUCUUUGGCGAUCAAACUCUCUUAUAUUUUUAAUAACAAAAUGAGUGGAGGAAUGUUGUUAUAUUUUAUUAUUAAUUACGAAAAUUUAUUGAGUUCAUGGUUAGUGAAGUUACAACUUCACUUUACUUGCAUUCAAUGUAAGCUUUUUUACCCUAUGCAUUACCUACAUCAAAUGAGUUUAUGUUAGUAUAUUGAAACUCAUAUAUAAAAGUUUGCAAUUAAUGGAGUUUUAACAUAUGUAAACUCCUAGCCAUUUAAUUCAUGCAUCCUUCGUAACUUAUAGGCCAAAGGAGCCUAUAUAUAGAGGGCUUCUCUACUUCACACAAGACAAGAAAAAAAAAAGAUAAUAGUUUUAUUUUACUAUCUCUUGUGAGAGAGAGAAGAUCAAAGGAAGGUGUUAUAGCUUUGGGCUCAUCUACUUGUGCAGAGUCGGUGAAGUCACAUGACGAGGUCGAGCCAUUGUAUCCUGGAAGGACAAAUCAGUGCUCUGCUGCAUCGGUUCAAAGACUUUGUCAACCGCAGAGGGCUUGAAUCUCCUUAAAGAGAGCGAGAUAUCCGUGCCUCGGCUUGAUCGACUCGUUGAUACUUUUUAAAUUAUUUUGUAGCUAAGCUCUAUUUUUGAAUAUAUACACCAGCAUAGACCGUAAAACGUAUCAAGGCAUUACGGAGGGACUUCUUCUAGAAAGAUAGGGAGGAGAAUAGAGGAGAGGCUUGCUUGAUAGUCUGGAAAAAAAGGGAAGAAUGCUAAAUUUGGCCCCGUUGAAUGAUGCUCUACUUGUUAAAUGGUGGUGGAGGUUUUUUCCGGAGCAAGAUACGACACGGAGUAAGCUCAUCAAAGCUAGAUACUACAAUAGAAGGAAGCCUUUGAAAGAAGCGUAAGCCUUUAGUCCGACCUCAAUGAUAGAAAGGUGUAUUAAAACGGAAGAAAGUAUUCAAAUGUAGUGAGAGUUACACCUUGGAGAACAGCCUUUUUAUUGACCUUGGUUUGACAGGUGUAGUGUGGACUUGCUAUCAUCCCACUUUCUCGAUAUUUAUGAUAAAGUUAUGAAUAAGGGUAUUAAACUCAAUGAGUGCUCCAACAGUGGUGGUUGGAGAUAAAGGAAGAUCUUAGAGGGGUUUCAAUUAAAGUCUAAGAACGACGGCUCUAAAAUCCAAGAGUUCAAGGAUAAGAUCAACGGUUACUUUUUUACAAAGUAGGCUUGAUAGUGUGUAAUGGUAUUCGGACAAAAGAAACAGGUUCACGGUUAAGUCUAUGUACAAGAUGCUUAGUGAUGGAGAGCUUAGAUGUUAGGAUUUGGUUAGACUUAUAGUUGAUUUCCUAGUUGGAUAAGAAUUAAUAUUUAAAUCUAUUGAAGAUAAAUUAAGAUUUAAAUAUUAAUUAAAAUAUAAAUCUAAUUAAAUUAGGAUAAAUAUUUAAAUCUAUUGUUGAUAAACUAAAUAUAAAUUUAAAUAUUAUUUGGAAUAGGUAUCCUAAUUAAACUAGGAUUUGGAUACGUUCUAUUGUAAGUAUUAUAUAAGCAUCAUGUGGGUUGCUUUUAGAAGAUAGUACCAGUAGAGAGAGAGAGAGAGAGAGUCUCUUGUGGUGUUGUACCAUAGAGAGAGUUGGCCAUGGUUGCAUGCACCUAGUGUAUGGGUGCGUUCAACGAGAGAAGUCUUUUAAGUUUAUAAAAGAUGAAAAGAGGGUAUAAGAGAUUCAAAAAGAUGGCUCAGGUUUGAAGCUACUCUGUUACAGAAGAUGAGCCAAGUGUAAUCUUCUCUUCGUUAGUAAAUUAUUUUAUCCGCAUAUUUUCGGUUUGAUUUUUUUUUCUCUUUUGUGAUUGUGUCAGCUUUUACCAGAUCAAUAGCAGUCGGUAUCAGAGCUGGCUGCGUAUUCUCAAGAUCUGGUAUCAGGGGGAGUACUAGAUUUUCAACAAUUGGUAUCAGAGUUUAAGGUAGUCGAUCUAUAGGAGAGAUCGACGGAGAUGGCCACGAAGUUCAAAAUCAAGAAGUUCGACGGCAAGAGCAAUUUCGACUUGUGGCAGAUUAACGUACGGACGAUCCUCGUACAACAAGAGUUGGACGAGACAUUGAACAGAAAGAGGCGAAGUCGGCGGAGAUCACGGAUAUGGGAUGCAGUGGAAGGCGCUGAGUACGCUUCAUUUAUUAUUAGCAGAUGAAGUUCUUUACAUUGUAGCCAGCAAGUCGACGUCAGCGAAGUUGUAGAAGAAAUUAGAAGAUCUGUACCUAACCAAAUUCUUGACCAACAGUUUGUAUCUGAAGCAAUGACUAUUAAUGUUGCGGAUGCAAGAAGUGACGAGCCUACAUAGGCAUCUAAACGAGUUCAACAAUGUGGUUGUCCAAUUGACUAGUAUCAGAGUCAAUCUGGAUGACGAGGACAAGGUGCUGAUUUUAUUAUCUUCACUACCGGUGACAUAUGAAAAUCUGGUGACCACGUUGCUUUGUGGCAAGAAGACCAUAAGCGUGGAGGUGGUCGCAGCAACGCUUUUCUUGAACGAUAUGCGGAAGAUGACUCAGGAGUCUGACACGCAGAAUCGUGAUACUGCUUUGGUGGUGCGAGGGAAGAAGGAGGUGACAGCAUCGGCGACCAGAGAUCAAUAGAAGAAGCCGCAAUCUAAGGUGGAGCUAUUGUCACAAGAAAGGGCACAUCAAGCGCAGCUGUCGGGAACUUCAGAAUGAUCUGAAGGAGUUGAAGCGAAAUAAAGAGAAAACUGCCGUGAAUCAGGAUGAGAAGAUAUCAGUAAUAGCAUAGGCGGCAGAGUCAGAAAUGAUUAAUUCUGAUAUGCUAUAUGCGGCGACAAAAGGUGCUAAAAUUUCAGAUGAUACGUGAGUGUUCAAUUCGGUGUGUUCCUUUCACAUAUGCCCAGAAAAGAAUCUUUUGCCACCUAUAAGGCGAUCAAGGGUAGAAAAGCUCUAAUAGGGAACGGAACGGUGUGCAAGGUUAUAGGAGUUGGCAUAGUAAAGAUCCCGAUGCAUGAUGGGGUCGUGAGGACGCUGACUAGGGUGCGACAUGUUUCUAUCUGAAGUGAAAUUUGAUCUCGUUAGGCCCAUUGGACUUGAAGGUUUGCAAUUUUUCGACUUCAGGUGGAGCUAUGAGGGUCCGAAAGCAAAAUCAGGUCGUAUGCGAGGCGAACAAGCGUAGGAACUUAUAUGUUCUGAAUGGGAGCACAAUCAAAAUAUAAGCAAAGUCAAUUUGGGUUCCAAAAGUUCACGGAGGUGGAGUUGCUAGAGAGUGAGCGGCAGAUGCAGUGACAUCGAGCAGAGGAAACAAGCUCAAAGUGGAGCUUGCAUGGUGAGCUCGAUGCAACGGUUGAAGGCUACAAAUCCAACUAAGGUAGAGAUUAUUAGGAUUUGGUUAGAUUUAUAGUUAAUUUUCUAAUUGAAUAAGAAUUAAUAUUUAAAUCUAUUGGAUAUAAAUUAAAAUUUAAAUAUUAAUUAGAGUAUAAAUCUAAGUAGAUUAGGAUAAAUAUUUAAAUCUAUUAUUUUCUUUUUCUAUUAUUGAUAAACUAAAUAUAGAUUUAAAUAUUAUUUGGAGUAAAAAUUCUAAUUAUACUAGGAUUGGAUACGUUCUAUUAUAAACAUUAUAAAAGCAACAUAUGGAUUGCUUUUAGAAGAUAGUACGGGAGAGGGAGAGAGAGUCUCUUGUGUGGUGUCGUACCAGAGAGAGAGAGUUGGCCAUGGUUGCAUGCACCUAGUGUAUGGGUGAGGCCAACGAGAAAAGCCUUUUAGGUUUAUAAAAGACAAAAGAAUGAUAGGAGAGAUUCAGAAAGAGGGCUCAGAUUUGAAUCAACUAUGUUACAGAAGAGUAGUAAAGUGUAAUCUUCUCUUAUUUAGUAAAUCUUAUUUUUAUCCGCAUAUUUUCGGUUUGGUGUUUUCUCUUUUUUGUGAUUGUGUAGCUUUUGUUGAGGAAACGAGUUUACGGUAAAAUCUGAUUUAAUACUUCCGUUGCGGAAUCCCAACAACUGGUACCGGAUCAAUAGCAGUCGGUAACAGAGCGGGUUGCAGAUUCUCAAGAUUUGGUGUCAAAACGAGUACCAAAUUUCCAACAUUAGAGACACAAAGGUUCGGGAUGUUUAGAAGCUUGAAAUACCUACGAAAGUAAAGGGAUCUUUAUGUGGUUGGCCCUUAGGAAAAGCAUCCCCCAAAAGAAUAACCUUAUAAAGAAGGACUGGUCAGAGGAUCAGAUAUGUACAUUUUGCAGAGGCAAGACUUCCCUAGAGCAACUGGCAAAGGGUUUGGUGGUUGAUACCCGAGACCCAAGUUCGAAUCCUAAUUGAUUCACAUUUCUAGCUAAGUUUAUUUCUAAAUGAAAUAAACGAAGCGAGUAGCGUGCUACCUAUCUCUCAAAAAAAAAAGAAAAAAAAAAAGAUUUGAGACAGUCGAUUGACUCCCUUGUGUAUAUUGUCAGUUCUUGCUAGUGCAAUAUUUAGACGGAGAGUACAAAUCAACAAAUAAAACGGAUGUUUGAUUCUUCCAGAAACGACUGAGGAAGAAGAGGCCUCCCUAGCUAGGAAGCAAGAAAGGGACCGAUUGCCUUAGCGGCACGCUAGUGGACAAUCUGGUUCAAAAAAAAUAAUGUGAUAUUUAGACAAUUCAGUUCGGAUCCAACACUGGUCAUAGGAAGAAUUAAGAGUAUAGUGCGCGCGACAACCUCUUUUUGAAAAAACAUCGCUCGAAUAUAUGCACUUGUUGUACUCCUCUAAUUAUCAAAAUUACAUCUUUUGUAACGCCAUGAAAAUUUUCUAGAUGAUAUAGGAGAAACUUAAUUUGAAUGUAACCCAUGCAGCAUCAUCAUAUCAAACACUACAGUGGUAAAUGUACAAUUUGCCCUUCUAUGUACUCCCUUUAUUAAGUAUAUACUGAGAAAAAUACGGUAAAUAAUUAAGUUUUUGAUUUUACCAACAAAGGCAACAUGAACCAUCGAUCGAUUACACCUGAGCAAAACUUGGAGAUCCAAAUAGCGCACGAUUAUUUAAUCAAUGCACAAGCUUAAAUGGUCUCAUCAUCUCAUUGUCUUCAUGAUCCAAGAUCUACAAAAUAUUAUAAAAAACCAAAUAUAAGUUAAUCAACAGCAUACAUAUAGAUGUAUUAUAUAAAAAUAGUACUAAACAUAGAGUGGUUGUGAAAAUAAUUUGUGCUAACUAGGAGUGAUUAACAUAGCAGUAAUUAAUAUAACAUCUCAUUUAGUAUCUACUACAAACUACUGUGAUUGCAAAAACAAAGUGCUACUUUUACAUGCAGAAUAUGAUAUAACAUGUAUAUAAUAAUAACAUGGCAUUCUAAUUACUUUCAUAUUGUCAACUUCUAAUGCAAAUGCUAAAAAAAUUUUGGACCGAUUGAUUAGAUAUAAUUAGAAAAACAGUGCAGUUGUAAUUAUAUGCAUCUAAUUAUAAUUUGGACGAAAGUAGUAUAAAAUAUUAUAACCAUAAAUAAUUUGUUUGAUUGCAUACAGUUGAAAAGCAUAUUUUAAAAAUUUUAUCAAUUUAUAUAUGUGGUGGUGAGGUUAUCUCUAAUAUAGAAAAAAAUAUAUAUACUUUUUAUUUAAAAAAUAAUUCAAAAAUUAAACUUUUGUUUUUGCUUAAAGUUGAUUUUUUUAAUUUGCUGCAGUUGAACUUUCUCAUGCAGUUUUUAUUGCAAAAGAUAGAUUCAGACAUAUCAAACUAAAUAUCGAAUUUGAAUCUAAACGUAAUUGUAACUGCAGUACAGUUACAAUUAUAUUAACUAUAUGUAAUCAAAAAGCGAAGAGAUAAACUCACAUGGCAAUGGUAGACGUAGCCGGGCUCGGCGGUGGCGUCGAAUGAAUACGUCCGCUCCGUCCCUCCGAGCGGCUUAAACCGGACCAGGAUCUCGGUCACGAACCCGGGACGCAUCUUGAAGACGUUCUUCCACCCGCGCUCCCACGGCGGCACCGCGCGGCGCCGCCCCACCGCGUGCCGCCCCACGCGGCACCGCACGGCGUCGUUGGCCCUCAUCAUGCACUCCUUGAAGCCCUCCACGUCCACCAGCUCCCGCUGCUCCCGCACCGCGAACACAGCCAGGUGGAUGUGCAGCGGGUGGUUGUCGUCCGUCAGAUUGAUCACGCGCCAAAUCUCGGCCGUCCCUUCCCCCGGCGUCUCCGUCACGGGGUCGCCAUACGAUUUCGCGUUCAGGUAGAGGUGCGUCGGGUCCCCCGUGGCGCUCUCGUACUCGUACAUCGUGAUGUACCUCGUCCGCGCCGAUUCCGCCACGUCGGCCGCGGGAUACCGUAGCAGCGACCGCGGGACACGGGACGGGUCGCGCCUGCGCUCCCUCCGCCGUCGGAUCACGAACUUCAUCACCCGCCCGCUCAGCUCGUCCGUCGGAUCCCCCGACGGGUACGGGUACGGCGCGUCGUUGCGGAGGAUGACGUCGUCGGAGGUUGACUUCGCGAAGUCAACGACGACGUCGGCGAAUUCGGAGGGGCCGAGGAGGAAGCUUCUGGAAGCUUCGGGCCUCGGGAGGUACACGGAAUCCGAGGACACGUGGACGAAGGGGAGGCCGUUGGAGAGGGAGAGGCGGAAGAAGCGGGCGUUGCUGGCGUUGAGGAUGCGGAGGCGGUAGCGGCGGCGGCGGACGCGGAGGAAGGGCCAGGCCUUGCCGUUGGCGACGACGGCGGGGCCGAAGUACUCGGGCUGCCACUGCGGGUGGAUCCCCGGGUUGUCGCCGGUGGCGUUCAUGUAGAGCGCGCCGUCGGCGCGGAACGCACGGUCGAAGAGGACGAUGUGCCGGUCGAACUCGUGGCCCGACGGGAGGCCCAGCGCCGCCUCCUCGGGGCCGGAGACGCGGUAGGCGCCGAUCAGGCCGGCGAGGAGGUUUACGCGCGUCAGGCCCAUCGCGUGGUCAUGAUACCUGGUGAAUAUAAAAAUAAGGAUUUAAAGUGUCGUGACGUGCCGAAAAUUUAUCAGUCUGGUACGUACAUUACCAUACACGUGUCGGAUUGUGCCAAUAUAUGCCGAUUAUAAAAAAAUACAUGUAUACCUAUAUUUUUUAGCAAUAAAAUAUCCUAAUUAGUAUUUUUAUUAAAUUUUUUAAAUUUUAUAAAAAAAAAACCUACUUAUUAAUAUAAUGAAAAAAGAGUUUUGUACUGUGUCAUCUGUACGGAGGUUGUAUCUUUCUAAUAUUCUGUGAUCCGUAUUGAUACGUGCUUAAAUUCUUUGAAUAUAAAAUUUCAUAAUUCAUAACAGCAUUCAACGGUAGUUUAAGCUUAUGGACUAUUUUCUAGUACCAGAGAUUGCCCGGGGGCUGAGCGUUGGGGUAGAAAUAAAUAGGCGAGGAGAAGUGAGGGCCGGUGGAGGAGAGGGAGGAGGUGAACCAGGCGAGGGCGUUGCCGUCGGAGGAAGGGGGGUUGAUGCCGCCGUGGAGGUGGACGACGGUGGGGACGCCGGAGCGAGGGGAGGCGGUGGUGAUGGUGGGGUCCCACGGGAGGAAGUGGCGGGACGGGAGGUGGUUGGUCCAGGUGAUGUGGGUGGGGACACCCCGGAGGGCCUCGAUGGUGGGGCCGGGGACCGUGGCAGUUUCUCUGGACGUGCCGUAGGCGAAAACCCGGGAGGGCGGGAGAUCACGAUGAAAUUUCUACCAAGAUUAAAAAAUUAAAAUUAUUAUUAUAACAUAAUCAGAUAAAAGAUACUUAAUUAAAGUAGUCUCUUGCUGAGAACUGAUUAUUAUUAUUUUUUUUCUUUUUUUGUUUUACGACACGUUAUUAAAAUUGGCAUAUAAUUCUUGUACAUUGAAUUACCCUCAAAUCGACUCGAAAUCCAAACUAUUCAAGUGUGAUCAAAUUGAAACAAAAUUCAAAUCCGAACAACUCAAAACUCAAAUCUCAAACAACCUCGAAUGGCAAAUGGCCCCGAUUAAUAUGAACUCGUAAAGCGACGUGAUUAAGAUGAAAAAGUGUAAGGACGAGAGAAAAGAGUAAAUAAUUUUUUUCUAAACUCCAAAAGCUACAACCGAUGCCGCCGAGUUGGUCGAUUCGGACCAACGAAAGAUGGGAAAACAAGACAGGCCAAAAACCCAAACGAAAUUAGACCCAAUUAUGGCCCAACUUAUGCGAUUUGAAAUAGGAUUUGAUUAAACGGCCCUAACAUUGCGCUCGGGCCUUUGUUUUGUGAUGUUUAGUCUCAAUUCGAAAAUAACUUUUCAAAUCAGUAGUUCUGGGCCAAUUAAGUUUGCAAUUCAACAUCAUUUUUGGGGGACAAAUUUGAUCAUUUAAGUCUUCGGAUUGUCGAUCUUAAUUAUUAAUUUACUAUCUUAGAACAAUUUUAUUUUCUCUCACUUUUGCUCUUUUUUGAAUCCGAAUUGGGCUAGUGUUUUUUGCGUUUAUCCUAAUUUGAUUUACAUAAUUUUAGCUUUUGGAGUUUAAUAAAAUUUGUCUUUUCUUAUAAAAAAGUUUGUCAUUUCUUAUAAAAAAUUUUUGAUCCGAAUUGGGCUAGUCUUUUCUUAUAGAAAAUUUGUCAUUACCUAGCGGUCGAAAAGAUUUAAAAUCAAUGACUGAAAAUAAAAAUCUCACAAAAAGUUAUGAUCUAUUACUAAAAUUUUCGAUCAGAAAUAGUGAUCUUACUGUAAAUAAUAUAAAAAAUUUUCUAUCAAAAUUUUAUCUGAUUUGAAUACUUUUAUACUGUUAAACUUGCAAAAGUAUAUAUAUCAACCAUUCAAAAUUAUUGAUUUUGAAUCUUUCGAUCGCUAGAUAUAUGAUAUCAAAAAAUUACAAAAUUUAUUUUCUAUAUAUUUCAAAUGCGUCAGAUCAAGCUGAUUGUCAAUUCAAAAGCUUCAUCAUCAAAAACGGCUUACGAGCACGGAGAUCUUCGUACUCCUAAUAGCAUACAAGACCUAUUAUAUAUAUAUAUAUAUAUAUAUAUAUAUAUAUAUAUAUAUAUAUAUAUAUAUAAAAUUCAGCUCCAUCAUCAAAAACGAUUUAGGAGCACUGAGGCCUUCGUCCUAUCAAGUUAUUUUUUAAGAUUGAGAUUUCGAAUCAAAGAUUAGAACGGUUAAAAUUGAUCUAGAAUAUUUAAACUAUUUAGAAAAUAAAUUUUAUAAUUUUUAAAAAUUAUUUACAUAAUAAUCAAAGGAUUGCAAAAUUGAUAGUUUUGAAUGGGUGAUGAUCUAAAGCGAUCCAAACUGUUUGAAUUUUUUAUAAAAAAUUAUUUAUACUAUUUAGAUAACGUCUCAUAACUUUAUCAUGAAUUGGAAAAGUCUAACCUUUAUUUUUAUAAGGUUAUUCAUUUUUUGACUCUUCGGUGGACUUAAUAAUGAUUUUUAAAAAUUACAAAAUUUGAUUUCUAAAUAUUUCUAAUAGUAUAAAUUAAUUUCAACGGUACCGAUUAUCAAUUUAGAAUAUUGAUCAUCUAAAAUGAUACUUCUAUACUCUCUCUCUCUCUCUGUACAUAUAUAUUGUUUUAAGCUUUUGGAUUGGAUAGGUUUCAGUAGAUAUCUUCCAACCAACAAUUGAUAGCAAACACCGACCGUCCCUAAAGUAAGUGGUAAAGGACUUGGUGAUUGGUAUCCGAGAUUUUAAGUUCGAAUCCUAGUUGAUUCACAUUUCCAGCUAAAUUUACUUCUAAAUGAAAUAAAUGAAGCGGGUAGCGUGCUAUCUAUUUCUCAAAAAAAAAAAAAAAAAAAAACAAUUGAUAGCAAACUAUGGGGCACUUGAGCCCUCAAACUUUAAUUUAUUAUAACUUCAAGCUCGAACUUUCAAAAUCAUUGCAACAUUUCAUAAUUCAAUUUAGUUGACUAAAUUCUAACGUAUUUGUUGAUAUAAAAGUGAUGUGACAUCUUAAUUGUUGACGUAUUAUUAAUCACAAUACUAUUACAUCGCAGCUAUAUUAGCGAUGUAUUAAUAUUAGUUUAGUUAACUAAAUUCAGUAUAAAACUUGAUUACAACAAUUCUUAAAGUUUGAAUAAAAAGUAAUGAUUUAAAAAUCAGAUCGAAUAGUGACCCGAAAAUAUUACUGGGUCAAGAAUCACUGGUUCAACUAAUGGGUUAAUCACUGAUUGAACCAGUGACGUCGCAUAACGUCAUAUAUAUUUAAUUUUAUUAUAUUAUAUAAAAAUAUACAUAUAUUAUUAUUUUAGUACCAUAUUUUAAUUAUAAAAUACUAAUUUCUAGAAUAAAUUAAAUAGUUAUAAGGUUUCAAGUUUCACUUUUUAUAAGAUUAAUUUAUGCUAAUAGAAAAUAAAAUCAAUUAAGUUGAUUUUAAGCCAUUGGUUUUUAAUAUGACUUGAAAAAAAUCCCACGAGCUUAAUUAAAAUCGAAUCGGUUCAACAAUUAGAUGGUUGAAUCUAUAGGUCCGAACAGCUCAAAACACUUUUUUUGAAUUUAUUCGGUUCAAAAAUUGAACCGAAAGCUUUAUAAAUUGGAUCAUGGUCGGACUGGUCGAACAAAUCAUCAACCAAAAAUUACAAUAAGUUAAUUAAAGUUUGGAGACUAAAAUGUCACCAGACUCUAUGAAUGUCAAUGGGCAGGGAUAACUAAAACUUUAUCCGAAUCCAAACUCGAGCUGAGCGUAUUUAUCUAAAGCUAAACGAAUAUAGUUUCGAAUACAGAUAUAAAAAAUAAAAUCCAACGGAUUUAGAUUCGGGUACGAAUUUUGUCUGUAUCUAACCCGAACCCGAAACCGGAAUUAGUUUUAUAUUAUAUAAUAUACAUAAAUAUUUGAUGUUAUAUUUGAAUUUAUAUUUUAAAAAUUUAAAUUUGAUGUAAUAUAUGUUUUGAAAUAUAGUAAAAGAAUAACUAUUUCGAAUUCAAAUUUUUCGGUUUUGAUUUAGAUCGAAUUUUUAAAAAUUCGCCCCAAAUUCAAUCCGUUCAACUUUAGGUGGGACCAGAAUUUCCCCGACAAAAAAAACCCACUAGUGGCAGAAAACUUUUCCUGCCAGCUUUUCUGUGGAGGCCAGAGCCGUUUGAACAAAAGCAAGAAUUGGGACCAUUUCACCACCUAAAAGAAAACUAAUGUGAUUAUGAGAUGUUGGAAGAAUUUUUUAUUCUCAAAACAAAAUUGUUCUGGUUAGAUCUAUUAAACUUUCUUAGUAGGGAAUUGGCAUUGUAUUUUCAGUUGCUUCAGCACAUAAAGUUUUUCGAAAUAAAAGGAUGAGUCCGACUACUACUGUAUUAUCAGUAGUACAGAGAUCUCCGUGCUACUAAAUUAUUUUCAAUGAUGCGAUUUUUAAAUCGACGAUCGACGCUAUCAAGUUGUUUUCAAUGAUACGGCUUUCAAAUCGACGAUCGGCUUCGUUAGACAUGAUCUACACUGUUGAAAAUAUUUGAAAACUAAAUUUUAUAAGUUUUCAAUAUUAUUUACCUAUCAAAUGGAUAGUUUAAAAAUGAAGGGUUGAAAAUAAAAAAAAAUCAUAAAAAUUGGUGAUAACAGAUUUAAAUUUAAGAUCAGAAGUACUGAUCUUACUCUAAAUAGUGAAGAGAAUUUUCUAUAAAAAUUUUAUCAGAUUUGAAUUAUUUUACACCGUUAGAUUCACAAACGCAUCACAUCGAUCAUUAAAAUUAUCAAUUUGAGAUUUUUUAAUCACUAACCAAAUAAUAUCGAAAAAUUGUAAAAUUUCAAAUACUAUCAGCAGAGUAGAUCAAGUCUAACGAAGCCGAUCGUCGAUUUGGAAACCACAUCAUUAAAAAUAACUUGAUAGCACAGAGGCCUCUGUGUGGUCGAUAGUAUAGCAACCUAGCUCUCAUAGGAUAUAGUACUAGGUAAAAAAAAAAAAAAAUGCUGUUUCAGUUGUGCAAUAAGAAAAAACAUUAAUUAUAUGAAAUAACUUCAACUGUUGAUUUUUUUUAGAAUUAAAAAUUAAGGUCUUGUUUGGCAUCAGAGAAAUGCUAUUUGUAGAGCAAAAGUUGAUGGUAAAUCAUAUGUCCAAUCCAUGCGAGAAUUUAGACAACUUUUUUAUACUUUACUAUUAGAAAAAUAAGAUUGUUAUAGCACUAGCGUCAAAAAUGGACUCUCUAAUUAAGAAAAUAUAAAAUUUACAUCUAUUUUUGAGUGUACAAAUAUCAUCGAUUUUAGUGUUAUCACUUUUUUUUCUAUAUUUUAAAUACAAAUUAUAAAUAAUGGUAUAAGCCGGCAGAUUGAUUUCUUCCUUUCAUUGUUAUUAUAUAUUAGCACACACUCCGGCCAGGUGAAAAGUAAUAAUUGUUUUAAAAAAAUGUAAAUUUUUUAAAAAAAGUUACAUCAAAUUGUGAUAUUUUUUGUCAAAAAAUAUUUUGCAUUCAAAAAUUACAAGCAAUCCAUUAUCCAUUCUCACAAAAAUUCUAUUUACAAAAAUUAAAAUAAAGAAGGACAGCAAGAAUGUCAAAUAAUUAAUGACUUAAAACUUUUGUCCUUAAAUUCGAAAUCUCAUAGGGUGAAAUAACCGCUUCUUUUAUUUUGAAGUUAAAAGAUCACUAACCGACUAAAAUCAAAUAAAUUUAAAAAAAAUAAGAUUGUAAGAUCAAAACUUUUUAAAGAAUUAGCUAGUCAGAUCAAAAUAAGUGUUAGUUAAGUUUAAGUUUUGUACAUUUUAUCUUUUUUUUAAUAAGAAAAAAGGUACAUACCCAAGUGGUGUCAUACAUGCCGAUGGUGAGAUUACCGGCGACCGGAGCACCGGCGGCGUCGAAGCGGAAGCCUUGAAGCUUGGGCAUGUCCGGCAGCUCAUCCACAAACAUCUCUAGCUUGCUCAGCCUGUAAAGGCCAUUUUUCUCCUCACUUGUACCCUCACACACUACUACUCCCUCCACUAUUAUUGUUACUAUUAUUACUAGUACUGCUACUACUGCAGCUAAGUGUAUUGGUAUCAGUGAAACAUGAGAAGAGGGAAGAGGCUUCUUCUCACCCAUCUAAUGCUCUCUCUCUCUCUCUCUCUCUCUCUCUAGAGACCACCUUAUAUAUGGUGUAUAGAUAGAGAAAGAGAGAGGGGAAAGGUAAAGGUGAAAAUGUAAAAGAAAUGCUUAUUGUAUAUUCAAAAGUUGUGCGUAAAUCAUAUAUUCAAUUUAUUUACUUUUUUAUUUUGAAAAAACUAUUAUGAAUUUUAAAUAUUAAAAAGAGUAAUUAAGAAUGUGAUAACUUUAGUGUAACGAUUCGAUCCGCUAGCAAUAAUAACUCGCUGAGCCAAAAUCAUCGGCCCAAAAUGCUUAUGUCCAGUUAUUAUUAUUAUGGUGGGGUUCUCUUAUAUGCCCAAUGACAACGUACCAAAUUCUAUCUGAUCUGGGACUAUUGAGGUGUCACAAGACUCCCUCCGUUUAGGCCCCGAUGUCAUCGUCAGUCUUAAAAAGACACACAGCCCAAAAUUAUCAAAUGAUGUGAUACUUGUUUGUCUUGCUAGUUUUUGUCAUUCCAAUUCUGACUUAGUCUGUCAUUUUGAUCCUGACUCAAUCAAUCAAGACUUAUCUACACUUCCAACUGGUGAACCAGUUCUGAUACCAAAUGUCAAGACCUGACGCGCAAUAAUAACUCGCUGAGCAAAAACCACCAAUUCAAAAUACUUAACCCCAGUUAUUAUUAUUAGGAUGGAAUCAUCUUCUAUACCCAAUGACAAUUUCAAUCUCAUCCGAUGUGGAACUAUUGGGUGUCACAUUUAGUAAUAAAAAAAAAAAGUUUGGAUAAAGAGAGGGUAAGAUUUACAUUCACUUUAGAUGUACCAGUAGUAUUGCUAAAAAUAUAACUAGGACAACCUCAACUACCCGACAUGCACUUUGAAAUGAGUAGUGAGUACUACUGCUAUAGUAGGUUUCGUAGAAAAGUGCGGGCAAAAAUUAUUUACAAUAUUGUUCUUAUAUAUUGUUAAUAUUUUAGGAUCACGAUGCAAAAAAGUUUGAUUGGUUAUUGAUGCAUCUGCAACUUGCCCUGCAAACCUAUCAACAACGUAUAAAGAUAACAUUUUCAAAAAAUUUAAAAUAUUUUUCUCUUAAAAUAUUGUUAUUAUAUAUUAUUGAUAUAUUUUUAUAUAUGCAUGCUAUGAAAAAAAGUUUAUUUUACCAUUGACAUAAGUUUCUCUUUAGGCAAAAUAUUCUUAUAUCUAUAUCUUUCAACUUAGCCAAUUUCUUAUCUUUCUUAAUAAUUUAAAUUAUUCUAGCUAUUAAUUAUAUUAAAUAUAAUGAUUCUACUUUUUAUUAACUAUUAAAUAUUUUAAUUGUAUUUGUUAAAAAAGUAACUAAAGCAAUAAAAUAUUAAUUGAGUAAAGCUGCAACAAAAAAAAAAAAAAAAAAAUCAGAAAUGAGAAACUUAGAGAAAGAAAAUGUUGAGGGCCAUUUUAAAAAAUGCCUAUAGUUGAGGGGGGUCUCCAUGCCUUUCUUUUUUUAAAAGAAUAUCUCUUGUAGAUUAUACACCCCCAUCUUAGAGUUGAUAAAAUUUUAAAUAAUUUUUAACAAAAAUAAAAAAUAUUGAUGUGAUAAGUAAAAUAUUAUUAGCCAUAGAAUAGAGUGGAUGUGAGAUAUAUAUACAUAUCCCAGGCCACUUUAGAGUGUAUAUGUGGCAUUGUUUUAAAAAAAAAAAAUCAAUGAUAAAUAUAUAAAAGUGGGGUGUGUGAAUUUAGUGAGUGAUGAUUGGGACUGAGGGGAUUUGUAAUGGGAGGCGUGAAGCACAAAGUUGGUGGGAGUCGCUUUUCAGAGUUUUUUUUUUUUUUUUUUUUUUUUUUUUUUUUUUUUUUUUUUUUUUUUGAGUUUGUUAUUUUUUAAGGAUAAAUUUUAAAUACUCCUCUUAUGAUUUCACAAUUUUUCACUUUAGGAGGUGUUUGGAUUGACGUAUUUAUAGAUUCAACGUAAGUCAAGUGUAGUGGUGUUUGAAUUUUUCUGAAGUGUGAUUAUUUUUUUGUUGUUUGUUUUGACAUAACUCGUACCGUCUGAAAGUUAAAUUCAAUCACUUCUAUUGUUUAUUUUGAUAUAAUUUGGUGCUGGUAAAAUUAGUUUUUUGAGUUCCAUUGUUUGUUUUGAUGUAAGUAAGUGAAUCUCAUUAUCUCCUAAAUAUAGUAGUAAAUUUACCGCUAUAAAAUUUAAUCUAUUAUAUAAUUAAUUUUUUUAUUAUUAUUUAAAGAUCAUCCUAAUUUAUUAUAAAUAAGGUAAUUCUAACCCAUUAUAAAAGAAGUAGAGUUUAGGUUUUACUGUUUAAUAAAUUUUUUAGAGGAGGUUGAGUGUAGUGAAAGUCGAGUUCGGCACUUUAGAGGAGAAAGUCGAGAAUAGGUGAAGUGGAGCUCUAACAUAACUUGAGUUGCAUUAUAUUUUUCACUUACAUCAAAACAAAUAACAGAAGUGAUGGAACUUGAGUUCCAUCACUCCACUUACACCAAAACAAAUAUCAAGUUAGUUCAUGUGGUUUUGCACUUUCUCACUUUAGUACCUUAUAAUUUAAAGUGUAUCAAUUUAGUACCCUAUUGUUUCAUUUUUAUCUUUUUAUUAUCGAUUCCACUAAUUUUUUUGUUAAAUCAGUGACAAAGUUAAAACCAAAUGGUACAAAAGUGAAUAUUCGAUAAACCUAGAUGAGGUAUCUGAAAUUUUUUGUAUAUAACUUAACGAAAUAUUAACGAAAAAGCUGAGAAAAGAUAAAAAUGUAAUCAUAGGACAUUAAUUUAAUACAGUUUAAACUACACGGUAUUAAAAUGAGAAAGUAUGAAACACAGGGGUGGUAUUCGAAGUUUACCAAAAACAAAAAAAAAUUACAAAUAAAAAAA